ACUACGGGUGGCAGCAGUGAGGAAUAUUGGUCAAUGGACGAGAGUCUGAACCAGCCAAGUAGCGUGAAGGAUGACUGCCCUAUGGGUUGUAAACUUCUUUUAUAAAGGAAUAAAACGAGGCACGUGUGCCUUUUUGCGUGUACUUUAUUAAUAAGGAUCGGCUAACUCCGUGCCAGCAGCCGCGGUAAUACGGGGGAUCCGAGCGUUAUCCGGAUUUAUUGGGUUUAAAGGGCGCGUAGAUGGGUUGGUAAGUCAGUUGUGAAAGUUUGCGGCUCAACCGUAAAAUUGCAAUGGAUACUGGCAGUCUUGAGUACAGUUGAGGUAUGCGGAAGUCGUGGUGUAGCGGUGAAAUGCUUAGAUAUCACGAAGAACCCCGAUUGCGAAGGAAGCUUACUAAACUGUGACUGACGUUGAGGCUCGAAAGUGUGGGUAUCAAACAGGAUUAGAUACCCCUGUAGUC
rnacentral:rRNA from 1 species